rnacentral:rRNA from 1 species
AGUGAACGCUGGCGGCGUGCCUAACACAUGCAGGUCGAGCGGUAACAGGUGUAGCAAUACAUGCUGACGAGCGGCGGACGGGUGAGUAACGCUUGGGAAUCUGCCUAUUAGUGGGGGACAACCCGGGGAAACUCGGGCUAAUACCGCAUACGCUCUACGGAGGAAAGCCGGGGACCGCAAGGCCUGGCGUUAAUAGAUGAGCCCAAGUCGGAUUAGCUAGUUGGUAGGGUAACGGCCUACCAAGGCGACGAUCCGUAACUGGUCUGAGAGGACGACCAGUCACACCGGAACUGAGACACGGUCCGGACUCCUACGGGAGGCAGCAGUGGGGAAUAUUGGACAAUGGGCGAAAGCCUGAUCCAGCGACGCCGCGUGGGUGAAGAAGGCCUGCGGGUUGUAAAGCCCUUUCGGUGGGGAAGGAAAAGCCUCGAGUUAAUACCUCGGGGUCUUGACGUAACCCAUAGAAGAAGCACCGGCUAACUCUGUGCCAGCCGCGCGGU